rnacentral:rRNA from 1 species
GUAGGGGGCAAGCGUUAUCCGGAUUUACUGGGUGUAAAGGGAGCGUAGACGGUAUGGCAAGUCUGAUGUGAAAGGCCGGGGCUCAACCCCGGGACUGCAUUGGAAACUGUCGGACUGGAGUGCCGGAGGGGUAAGCGGAAUUCCUAGUGUAGCGGUGAAAUGCGUAGAUAUUAGGAGGAACACCAGUGGCGAAGGCGGCUUACUGGACGGUAACUGACGUUGAGGCUCGAAAGCGUGGGGAGC